rnacentral:rRNA from 1 species
AGAGUUGAUCCUGGCUAGGACGAACGCUGGCGGCGUGCCUAACACAUGCAAGUCGAACGGAGAGGACAUGAAGGUAUUCGGUACGGAAUGCUCUCUUAGUGGCGAACGGGUGAGUAACACGUGGGCAACCUGCCCCAGACUGGGGGAUAACAUUGUGAAAACAGUGCUAAUACCGCAUGACAGGGUUCCGGGCAUCCGGGACCCUUGAAAGGAGAAAUCCGGUCAGGGAUGGGCCCGCGUCCAAUUAGCUAGUUGGCGGGGUAACGGCCCACCAAGGCGACGAUUGGUAGCCGAACUGAGAGGUUGAUCGGCCACAUUGGGACUGAGACACGGCCCAGACUCCUACGGGAGGCAGCAGUGGGGAAUAUUGGGCAAUGGGCGAAAGCCCUGACCCAGCGACGCCGCGUGAAGGAUGAAGGUCUUCGGAUUGUAACCUUCUUUGAUCAGGGAGGAAAGAAAUGACGGUACCUGAAAAACAAGCCACGGCUAACUACGUGCCAGCAGCCGC